GUGCUUUUGAGGAAGGUUUGGUGGCAAAGGUAGAUUUUUAGCCUUAGCAUUUCACAACUGGUGGGCAGAAUUUAGAUGGGCAGAAGCAUUUUAGGAGAUUUUCAGAUUGAGAAAUGGAGGCAUCGAGGUCAAAUCUUUUACCUAAACCACUGAGCAGCAGAGACAGGAAAUCAAGUUCUCAGCUUGUUAAUUAAGUUAAAAAUACAGAAGUUUCCUGGUUAUUCUCUCAUCAGUUUCAGAGUGUUCAUGACUUUGAAGUAGGUCUCACCGUACUAGAGUCAACAGCUGUUCUGAUGAAAUAGACGUGGUCCUCCAUUCACCACAAAGGCAGAGGUCAAGACUGACAGCAACUGCGCAUCACCAGGCGGAAAUUGCUAAGUUCUGGAGGCCGGCGCUGAUGCGAGACUGGGGCCUGCUGGAUCUGUCCCUGGUCACAGAGCAGCUGUGCGCUGUCAAAGUGCCGAGCGCUGUUACAGGUUUUUGCAGUUGUUGUUAUUUAAACCUCAAUCUAAAAAUCUAGUUUAAGAAGUGGGAAUGUUUGUGAUACACGUGAAUAAACCAAGGGGAAGAACUCAGAAGUUACAUCAUCCAUGAAGGGUGAAAAUGUGAUGAACUUUCACUGCUCCAAAGCACUAUAAACCAAAAUUUUGCCUGAUGGGAAAACAAUGACACAUCCUUCCUGUUU
ensembl:lncRNA novel transcript